rnacentral:rRNA from 1 species
ACGAAGGUGGCGAGCGUUGUUCGGAUUUACUGGGCGUAAAGCGUGCGUAGGUGGUAUCGUGUGUCGGAUGUGAAAUCCCAUGGCUCAACUGUGGAACUGCAUUCGAAACUACGGAACUAGAGUACAGGAGGGGAGAGCGGAAUUCUUGGUGUAGCGGUGAAAUGCGUUGAUAUCAAGAAGAACACCGGUGGCGAAGGCGGCUCUCUGGAAUGUUACUGACACUGAGGCACGAAAGCUGGGGGAGCAAACAGG